rnacentral:rRNA from 1 species
UACCAGCACCCCGAGUGGUCGGGACGAUUAUUGGGCCUAAAGCAUCCGUAGCCGGUUCUACAAGUCUUCCGUUAAAUCCACCUGCUUAACAGAUGGGCUGCGGAGGAUACUAUAGAGCUAGGAGGCGGGAGAGGCAAGCGGUACUUAGUGGGUAGGGGUAAAAUCCGUUGAUCCAUUGAAGACCACCAGUGGCGAAGGCGGCUUGUCAGAACGCACUCGACGGUGAGGGAUGAAAGCUGGGGGAGCAAACCGG